rnacentral:rRNA from 1 species
AGAGUUUGAUCAUGGCUCAGAACGAACGCUGGCGGCGCGCCUAACACAUGCAAGUCGGACGCACUCAGCAAUGGGUGAGUGGCGGACGGGUGAGUAACACGUGGGAACCUGCCCUGGGGUCUGGGAUAACUGCGGGAAACUGCAGGUAACACCGGAUGUGCCCUUAGGGGGAAAGUUUACGCCCUGGGAUGGGCCCGCGUCGGAUUAGGUAGUUGGUGGGGUAAUGGCCUACCAAGCCUUCGAUCCGUAACCGGUCUGAGAGGAUGAUCGGUCACACUGGGACUGAGACACGGCCCAGACUCCUACGGGAGGCAGCAGUGGGGAAUCUUGGACAAUGGGGGCAACCCUGAUCCAGCGACGCCGCGUGGGUGAUGAAGGCCUUCGGGUCGUAAAGCCCUUUUGCCGGGGAAGAUGAUGACGGUACCCGGAGAAGAAGCACCGGCUAACUCUGUGCCAGCAGCCGCGGUAAGACAGAGGGUGCUAGCGUUGUUCGGAAUUACUGGGCGUAAAGGGCGCGUAGGCGGCUCGUUUAGUCGGGUGUGAAAUCCCAAGGCUCAACCUUGGAACUGCAUUCGAUACUGGCGGGCUAGAGACCGGAAGAGGUGGGUGGAAUACCCAGUGUAGAGGUGAAAUUCGUAGAUAUUGGGUGGAACACCGGUGGCGAAGGCGGCUCACUGGUCCGGUUCUGACGCUGAGGCGCGAAAGCGUGGGGAGCAAACAGGAUUAGAUACCCUAGUAGUCC